UACAGAGGGUGCAAGCGUUAAUCGGAAUUACUGGGCGUAAAGCGCACGUAGGCGGAUUUUUAAGUCGGGUGUGAAAUCCCCGGGCUCAACCUGGGAACUGCAUCCGAUACUGAGAAUCUAGAGUAUGAUAGAGGAAAGUGGAAUUCCAGGUGUAGCGGUGAAAUGCGUAGAUAUCGGGAGGAACACCAGUGGCGAAGGCGGCUUUCUGGAUUAAUACUGACGCUGAGGUGAGAAAGCGUGGGGAGCAAACAGG
rnacentral:rRNA from 1 species